rnacentral:rRNA from 1 species
AAACUGAAGAGUUUGAUCCUGGCUCAGAUUGAACGCUGGCGGCAUGCCUUACACAUGCAAGUCGAACGGCAGCACGGAGCUUGCUCUGGUGGCGAGUGGCGAACGGGUGAGUAAUAUAUCGGAACGUACCCUAGAGUGGGGGAUAACGUAGCGAAAGUUACGCUAAUACCGCAUACGAUCUAAGGAUGAAAGUGGGGGAUCGCAAGACCUCAUGCUCGUGGAGCGGCCGAUAUCUGAUUAGCUAGUUGGUAGGGUAAAAGCCUACCAAGGCAUCGAUCAGUAGCUGGUCUGAGAGGACGACCAGCCACACUGGAACUGAGACACGGUCCAGACUCCUACGGGAGGCAGCAGUGGGGAAUUUUGGACAAUGGGCGAAAGCCUGAUCCAGCAAUGCCGCGUGAGUGAAGAAGGCCUUCGGGUUGUAAAGCUCUUUUGUCAGGGAAGAAACGGUGAGAGCUAAUAUCUCUUGCUAAUGACGGUACCUGAAGAAUAAGCACCGGCUAACUACGUGCCAGCAGCCGCGGUAAUACGUAGGGUGCAAGCGUUAAUCGGAAUUACUGGGCGUAAAGCGUGCGCAGGCGGUUUUGUAAGUCUGAUGUGAAAUCCCCGGGCUCAACCUGGGAAUUGCAUUGGAGACUGCAAGGCUAGAAUCUGGCAGAGGGGGGUAGAAUUCCACGUGUAGCAGUGAAAUGCGUAGAUAUGUGGAGGAACACCGAUGGCGAAGGCAGCCCCCUGGGUCAAGAUUGACGCUCAUGCACGAAAGCGUGGGGAGCAAACAGGAUUAGAUACCCUGGUAGUCCACGCCCUAAACGAUGUCUACUAGUUGUCGGGUCUUAAUUGACUUGGUAACGCAGCUAACGCGUGAAGUAGACCGCCUGGGGAGUACGGUCGCAAGAUUAAAACUCAAAGGAAUUGACGGGGACCCGCACAAGCGGUGGAUGAUGUGGAUUAAUUCGAUGCAACGCGAAAAACCUUACCUACCCUUGACAUGGCUGGAAUCCUCGAGAGAUUG